rnacentral:rRNA from 1 species
CCUACGGGUGGCUGCAGUAGGGAAUAUUGCUCAAUGGGGGAAACCCUGAAGCAGCAACGCCGCGUGGAGGAUGAAGGUUUUAGGAUUGUAAACUCCUUUUGUGAGAGAAGAUAAUGACGGUAUCUAUCGAAUAAGCACCGGAUAACUCCGUGCCAGCCGCCGCGGUAAUACGGAGGGUGCAAGCGUUACUCGGAAUCACUGGGGGUAAAGAGUGCGCAGGCGGGCUUGUAAGUCAGAUGUGAAAUCCUGUAGCUUAACUACAGAACUGCAUUUGAAACUAUGAGGCUGGAGUGUGGGAGAGGUAGGUAGAAUUCUAGGGGUAGGGGUGAAAUCCGUAGAUAACAAGAGGAAUACUCGUUGCGAAGGCGACCUACUGGAACAUGACUGACGCUCAUGCACGAAAGCGUGGGGAGCAAACAGGAUUAGAUACCCCUGUAGUC